GUCUGUUUGUGUAUUGUCUAGGGUGAAGUUGGACCUAGAGGACCCCCAGGCCCUGUGAUGACAGCUCAUGGAUUGAGACACCUCUCUGGGCCUGGUGAAGCAGGAGAGAAAGGACAGAAGGGAGAGA